UAGCUCAGAUGGUAAAGAAUCUGCCUGUAAUGCAGAAGACCCAGGUUCGAUUCCUGG
rfam:Ovis aries breed Texel chromosome 10, whole genome shotgun sequence.